CUCUGACCUCUCUAUGGCAAGCCAAAUGGCCAUGGGAAGACCCCAUGGAGUGUUAGAAUGAUGCCGUUGAGGGCAAGGAUUUUAGACCGGUCAUGGAUUCUGCCUGUGCACUGGGCUCUACCACUUUCUAGCUAUCUGGCUACCAGCAAGUUACUUUAACAGUCUAAGUUUCAACCUCCCCAUUCGUGAAAUGGAGAUAAUGUCUUAGUCAUAGGGGUAGCAAGUUUACUGUAUAUCAAGAGUGUAGCACUGAGCCUGGCUCUUCGUAAGUGUUCAGCUAGAGUGCAGUGGGAUGAUCUCUGCUCACUGCAACCUCUGCCUCUGGGUUCAAGUGAUUCUCCUGCCUCAGCCUUAUAAGGAAACAGGCUGAGAGACGCAAGUCAAACAGCAAAGGAUGGGCUGGUGUCUGUCUGACUCCAAUACCAGUGGUCUUUUCUCUAUAAC
rnacentral:lncRNA from 1 species